GAUGGCAAACGAUCAGGAAUCACGAAUAAGUAUUCGAUUUGCAUUGGUCAAGAGGCUCUGUACCACUAACCAUACAGUCUGGAUUAGAUCCUAGGAUCUUCUACUCUGGCGUUCGUCCACCGCCGCGUCAUCAUGAGCUAGCCAGCCCAUGAAGUUAUACAAGUACAAUCCCAAGCUUCGCAAACAACAAACAGCGCUCUCAGUAGUGCUGAGCGUAAGUCCCGAGAGUUAGCGGCCUACCAGCGGUUAGAAGCGCGGUUAUCGGUUGUAAAAAGAAAAAUAUAUGACUUAUUGAUGGAUUAACAUAAAUUUGACACCAUUACCAGGGCAAUUUGGCUUGCGCUUUUAUAAA